CUACUUAUCCCGUUACAGCUCCUGGUGAGAAGGGCGAAGCCAUGUCAGAAAUAAUAGAAAAGGCUUUUUCCUUUGAAAUAUCUAAACGUUCAAAGAUGGGAACAGCCGCAGGGGGGAGAAUACUGUGCUAUGCAAGUUGAUCUGAUUUUGUGGACCAUCCAUUUCCAAUUGGGAAGCUCACUUACUUUCAACUUGAAGCAUCAGAAAACCAGACUUACAGCAGCUUCAGCCUAUAGGGGUUUAUUUUUCUCAUGUAACAAGAAGAACAGAAGUGGACAGAGGCCGAGUUCUCAAGGACUCAGUUUCUUUCUGUCCCACCAACCUUACCAUGUUGGAUUGUCAUCUUUGUGCUUGUUGCCUCAUGAUGGCAAGAUGGCUGCAGCACCUCUGGGACUCACGACUGAUUUUUAAGACUACAGAGCCUAAGUCAAAGCUUGUUCUUGGACCCAGGAAAUAUGUCAAAUCCUUCCAGUGAAUGGUAUGUCUCAGGAUUGGAGACUACUCCCCCAGUUGCUGAUGGUGUGGUCAGCCCUCAGUUUUCAGUCCUCUUUGGGAAUUGCCUUGGAUGAAGAAAGUCACCUCACCCAAGAUCACUCCAACUCCUGGGACCCACAUCCAAUGAUUGGCCAAUAUGGGGACUCAAAGGCCUGGUCCCCCUUCCCCAACUUGAGACUACUCUGAAGGAUCACCCAGCUUCAGAGCUUCCCAUGGUUGAGACUUUUAGACUUCACUGUGGUCCAACCAAUCUCUUCCUAUACACGGUCCUGACUCCUUCACUUCCCUCCCAGCACUUCUUCUGUGUUAAUAUCAAACUUCUGUGCUAAUAACAAACUUCUUCCGUGCUAAUAUCUCUCAGUGUCUCCUUCCCUGGGAACUCAACCCUAGAUUGUUUAUACCAGC
rnacentral:lncRNA from 10 species